CCCUUCCUUCCCCUUCCUUCCCCUUCCUUCCCCUCCUUUUUUCCCCAAGAAAGCACAAACCUUUAUCACCUAAAACCCAAAGUUCCACUUCAGCCUUUCCUUUUUCCUUCUAAACUCAUUUCCUCUUGCCGUGUUUUUCCAGCAGCCACCACGAAUCAUUCCACGCCAGGAUCAGAUGGAUUUUAGGAUUUCCGUGGGUGGUUGGAACACCCAGAAGUCACCAGCAGAGGGAGAUCCAACCCCGGCAAUCCCACGACCUGUGCGGGAACAACCCCGCACCCCGCAUGCUGAGGAGUGUGUCAGAAAAAUCCUCAGCACAAACUGCAGCUGGUGCUUCCGUGGGCCAAGGAGGACCAGUGGGAGAUGAUGAUGUGUGUGUGUCCCCCAUCACUCUGCUUCUGCUCAAGUGUUACACCUGGAUCCCUCUAUUCUCUAUGCCAGAUCCAUGCAACAUAAAAUAUUUGGAGCUGUGUGUAUGGAAUCUGAAUUCUUUCACACAUUGAUUUGAAAAUCAUCUUCCUUAGAGACCACUUGUGCUUGCCAAGAGGAAUUAAGUGCCAGAGCAGCUCCACAGCACUGGGAAGGAAAUAAAACCCUGCUUUGGAGGAGCCAAGUUCUGCAUUUCCUGAGCACCUCGUGGCAUGGGAGCACCAGAAACACAAAACUGGUGGGAAAAGGUGGUGGUGGUGAUCUGCAUGGAGCCCAGGAGAGGGACAGAAUUCCCUGGAUGUCCCCUGCAGGGAUCCUAAAUUAUGGCUUCAUAGCCUUUAAGAUGUCUCAACCAAGCAGUGUUAUUCUCUAGGAAAAAACCAUCCCUCUGUCUCCCAGGCACCCUCUGCAAAUGGAAUCCAUAGGAUUGAAAACCUGGAACAGAUGCCAAGCAUUUAAUUCUUCCCAAAAAAUGGUUGUAAGAAAUUCCACCAAGAAAAAACUCAGCUUUAAGGAAAGCCCAAAGGAAAAUGGAAUGAAAAAAAAUCUGGAGGUCUUCUGGAAGUCUUCCUGGCAGGAUGGGAAGGUUGGAAGCCUGGGAGGAUGCUGCCUGUGGUUGCUGGUGGCUCCAGAGGAAACAAACUCUGCUCAGCUCCAGAGGAGUUAAUCCUAACCUUUUCCCAAGGCUGGUUUGUGCACUACCCUGGCUCGAUGUUUUCCUUCUUCAGCUUUACUUGGUAAACACAGUGCCUUGUUCCAAGGGAAAAAAUAAAAUAAAAUAAAAUAAGGGCAGAGGUUGUGGACAGAGACCUGGAGAGCACAGUGUGAUUGCUCCAGCCUGGGCCAGCAAAGGUCAUUUGAGACCUUGGGUGUUUUUGUGGGCUGGGAGGUGGCUGGCACC